rnacentral:rRNA from 1 species
AUGCCGCGCCAUCUGCUGCUCCCGCUCCUCCUCGUCGCCGCGGUGGGCGCCUCCGGCGGGGACGCGGGAGGCGAGAGGACGUACAUCGUGCGGGUGGACGCCGACGCGAAGCCGUCGGCUUUCCCGACCCACGCGCACUGGUACGAGUCGGCGGUGCUGGCGGCGUCCGGGGGCGGCGGGGGGUGGCCCGAGGGCGGCCCGCUGAUCCACACCUACUCGUCGGCGCUCCAUGGGUUCUCCGCGCGGAUGUCGCCGUCGGCCGCGGCGGCGCUGGCCGGCGCCCGCGGGGUGGCGGCCGUGCUGCCGGAGCGCGUCCGCUGCCUGGACACCACGCGCUCGCCGCGGUUCCUCGGGAUGCUCUCCUCCCCGCCCUCGGCCAUCCUCGCCGACUCCGACUUCGGCUCCGACCUCGUCAUCGCCGUCAUCGACACCGGCAUCUCGCCCGCGCACCGCAGCUUCCGCGACCGCGGCCUCGGCCCGGUCCCGCCCAGGUGGCGCGGGGCGUGCGCGUCCGGGCCCGGCUUCCCGCCCGGCUCCUGCAACCGCAAGCUCGUCGGGGCGCGCUUCUUCUCCGCGGGCUACGAGGCCACCUCCGGCCGGAUGAACGAGACCGCCGAGGUCAGGUCGCCGCUCGACAACGACGGCCACGGCACCCACACGGCCUCCAUCGCCGCGGGCCGCUACGUGUUCCCGGCGUCCACCCUCGGCUACGCCCGCGGCGUCGCCUCCGGGAUGGCGCCCAAGGCGCGCCUCGCCGCGUACAAGGUGUGCUGGGCGGGCGGCUGCUUCGACUCCGACAUCCUCGCGGCCUUCGACGCCGCCGUCGCUGACGGCGUCGACGUUGUUUCUCUCAGCGUCGGCGGUGCCGUGGUGCCGUACUAUCUCGACGCCAUCGCGAUUGGGGCGUUCGGCGCGACAGAGGCUGGCAUCGUUGUGUCUGCUUCGGCCGGCAAUGGCGGCCCAGGUGGGCUCUCGGUGACCAAUGUGGCGCCCUGGAUGACCACCGUAGGCGCCGGGUCCAUGGACCGCGCCUUCCCGGCCAACGUGCGCCUCGGCAACGGCCAAGUGCUCGACGGGGUGAGCGUGUACGGCGGGCCGGUGCUCCAGUCCGGCAAAAUGUACGAGCUGGUGUACGCGGGGGCAACCAGUUACUCUGCGUCGACGUGCCUCGACGGGUCGCUGGACCAGGCGGCCGUGCGCGGGAAGAUCGUGGUGUGCGACCGCGGCGUGAACUCGCGCGCCGCCAAGGGCGACGUGGUUCACCGCGCGGGCGCCGCCGGGAUGGUGCUCGCCAACGGGGCGUUCGACGGGGAGGGCCUGGUGGCCGACUGCCACGUCCUGCCAGCCACCGCCGUCGGUGCAGCCGCCGGUGAGAAGCUCCGUAAGUACAUCGCGUCGUCCACCCCGCAGAAGCCGGCCACGGGCACCAUCGUGUUCGAAGGCACCCACCUCGGCGUGCACCCAGCGCCGGUGGUGGCGGCGUUCUCGGCGCGCGGCCCGAACCCCCAAUCUCCAGAGACACUCAAGCCGGACCUGAUAGCCCCCGGCCUGAACAUCCUCGCCGCGUGGCCCAGCGGCGUCGGCCCGGCAGGCAUCCCCUCGGACGGCCGGCGCACGGAGUUCAACAUCCUCUCCGGCACGUCCAUGGCCUGCCCGCACGUCUCCGGCCUGGCGGCGCUGCUGAAGGCGGCGCACCCGACGUGGAGCCCCGCGGCCAUCAAGUCGGCGCUCAUGACCACGGCCUACACCAGGGACAACAGUAACGGCACGAUGCUCGACGAGUCCACCGGCAAGGUGGCGGACGUGUUCGACUUCGGCGCGGGGCACGUGGACCCGAUGCGCGCCAUGGACCCGGGCCUCGUCUACGACAUCGCGCCGGCGGACUACGUCAGCUUCCUCUGCAACCUCAACUACACGGGGCAGAACAUCCGGGCGAUCACGCGGCGGCAGGCCGACUGCCGGGGCGCGCGCCGCGCCGGGCACGCCGGCAACCUCAACUACCCGUCCCUCUCCGUCACGUUCGUGGCGGACGGCGCGAGGGCGAAGAUGAGGACCCACUUCAUCCGGACGGUGACCAACGUGGGCGGCGGCAGGUCGGCCUACCGCGCGACCGUGAGGUCGCCGGAGGGGUGCAAUGUCACGGUGCGGCCCGACCGGCUGGCGUUCCGGCGCGACGGGCAGAAGCUGAGCUUCACGGUGCACGUGGAGGCCGCGGCGCGGGCGAGGAUGGAGCCCGGCAGCUCCCUGGUGAGGAGCGGGGCGCUGACGUGGGGCGACGGCAGGCACGCCGUGGUGAGCCCGAUCGUGGUGACACUGCAAGCGCCAGUGCAGUAG